rnacentral:rRNA from 1 species
AUUGAACGCUGGCGGCAGGCUUAACACAUGCAAGUCGAGCGGAGAGAGGUAGCUUGCUACUGAUCUUAGCGGCGGACGGGUGAGUAAUGCUUAGGAAUCUGCCUAUUAGUGGGGGACAACAUUCCGAAAGGAAUGCUAAUACCGCAUACGCCCUACGGGGGAAAGCAGGGGAUCUUCGGACCUUGCGCUAAUAGAUGAGCCUAAGUCGGAUUAGCUAGUUGGUGGGGUAAAGGCCUACCAAGGCGACGAUCUGUAGCGGGUCUGAGAGGAUGAUCCGCCACACUGGGACUGAGACACGGCCCAGACUCCUACGGGAGGCAGCAGUGGGGAAUAUUGGACAAUGGGCGGAAGCCUGAUCCAGCCAUGCCGCGUGUGUGAAGAAGGCCUUUUGGUUGUAAAGCACUUUAAGCGAGGAGGAGGCUACUGGUACUAAUACUACUGGAUAGUGGACGUUACUCGCAGAAUAAGCACCGGCUAACUCUGUGCCAGCCGCCGCGGUAACAC